rnacentral:rRNA from 1 species
UACGUAGGGUGCAAGCGUUGUCCGGAAUUAUUGGGCGUAAAGAGCUCGUAGGCGGUCUGUUGCGUCGGCUGUGAAAACCCGAGGCUCAACCUCGGGCCUGCAGCCGAUACGGGCAGACUAGAGUUCGGCAGGGGAGACUGGAAUUCCUGGUGUAGCGGUGAAAUGCGCAGAUAUCAGGAGGAACACCGGUGGGCGAAGGCGGGUCUCUGGGCCGAUACUGACGCUGGAGGAGC